AGUGAACGCUGGCGGUAGGCCUAACACAUGCAAGUCGAACGGCAGCACAGUAAGAGCUUGCUCUUACGGGUGGCGAGUGGCGGACGGGUGAGGAAUACAUCGGAAUCUACUUUUUCGUGGGGGAUAACGUAGGGAAACUUACGCUAAUACCGCAUACGACCUACGGGUGAAAGCAGGGGAUCUUCGGACCUUGCGCGAUUGAAUGAGCCGAUGUCGGAUUAGCUAGUUGGCGGGGUAAAGGCCCACCAAGGCGACGAUCCGUAGCUGGUCUGAGAGGAUGGUCAGCCACACUGGAACGGGGACACGGUCCAGACUCCUGCGGGAGGCAGCAGUGGGGAAUAUUGGACAGUGGGCGCAAGCCUGAUCCAGCCAUACCGCGUGUGUGAAGAAGGCCUUCGGGUUGUAAAGCCCUUUUGUUGGGAAAGAAAAGCAGCAGGUUAAUACCCCGCUGUUCUGACGGUACCCAAAGAAUAAGCACCGGCUAACUUCGUG
rnacentral:rRNA from 1 species